CUAUUGACUUACUUCGAGAUAUUAUAUGUAGUUUUAGUGGUGGUUAAUCGAGUUUUCUGCAGGUACAUGGUUAACAUAUGUGCUGCUUCUCUCUACAGCUAACAAAGGAGCAGUGCCUUCAAAUCUGGUGGAGAAGAGACAAUGCAAAGCUGAGCUUCAAGUUGCAGAGUUUCGAGCUUCUAGGGAUAUGAACCUAAGUGUGUCGAGCAAUGGAACGCAGAGUCAUUGCUACAAGACCAGCUUCAAAGUGUAGAAAAGGAGUUACUCCAAUGGUGAGAAACACCCUGAUUUUCAGGUAAUUUCUGUGAUUAUUUUGAGGGAAAACUUCUGUGCAUCAACUAGUAAAAUGCUGAUGGUUUGAUGGUCGAACUCCAACUUUUCAAGUAAUUUACACAUGCAUUCUCAUCUUUCUGAUUGAUAACAUAUCAAGGGGAAGGUAUAUGCAAUUUUGGGAUUUGAAUAACAAUGGGGUUGAUUUCAUAAGAUUUUAACUUGUUUCAGUGCUUUCCAAUUUGACUGAAGAUCGUGUGGUUCAAAGCAUGGAUAAUAAUAGUCGAUUCCACUUCAUUCGGUUCUUUCCGUUUCAUUAUUAGUCCAUGUUUGGUUGGGUGUUUUUGGAGGUUGGAAAGGGAUUCAAUUAAUUGAAUCCAUUAUUUGUUGUUUGGUUUGGGUAGUGAGUUAACCAUUACCCUUACUUGAAGGUAAUCCAAUCACUCAAAUUGUUACCCCUCAAAAUAGAGGGGAAACAAAAGAAAGGAAAUCCCUUACUAAUGAUUCAUUUCCAUUGUUAAAUCAAACACUUAAUAAAAGUAAUUGUUAUUUUUUUACCA